rnacentral:rRNA from 1 species
GAUGAACGCUGGCGGCGUGCUUAACACAUGCAAGUCGAACGAUGAUGCCCAGCUUGCUGGGUGGAUUAGUGGCGAACGGGUGAGUAACACGUGAGUAACCUGCCCUUGACUCUGGGAUAAGCCUGGGAAACUUGGUCUAAUACCGGAUACGACCAUCUGGCGCAUGUCAUGGUGGUGGAAUGCUCUUGUGGUUUUGGAUUGACUCGCGGCCUAUCAGCUUGUUGGUUGGGUAAUGGCCUACCAAGGCGACGAGGGGUAGCCGGCCUGGGAGGGUGACCGGCCAAACUGGGACUGAGACAAGGCCCAGACUACUACGGGAGGCAGAGGUGGGGAAAAUUGCACAAUGGGCGGAAGCAUGGUGCAGCGGAGCAGCGUGAGGGAUGACGGCAUUCGGGUUGUGAACCUCUUUCAGUAGGGAAGAAGCGAAAGUGACGGUACCUGAAGAAGAAGCGCCGGCUAACUACGUG